AAGUCGUAACAAGGUUUCCGUAGGUGAACCUGCGGAAGGAUCAUUACCGAAUUGUCAACAAGAGUUGUUGCUGGUCCCCAUACGGGGGCAUGUGCACGCUCUGUUUACACAUCCACUCACACCUGUGCACCCUCUGUAGUUCUAUGGCUUGGGUGGGCUCCGUCCUCCUGCUGUGGUUCUACGUCUUUACACACACACUACAACAAAGUCUCAUGGAAUGUAUGUCGCGUUUAACGCAAUGAAAUACAACUUUCAGCAACGGAUCUCUUGGCUCUC
rnacentral:misc_RNA from 1 species